rnacentral:tRNA from 1 species
GGGGUUGUGGCUCAGUGGUAAAGUGCUUGCCUAGCAAGUGUGAGGCAAUUCAGUUUGAUCCUCAGCACCA